rnacentral:lncRNA from 1 species
UUGUUGACCCAGGCACACCCAUCAUUGGAGAAACCCCACCAACUCCUUCCGGUGGAUAUUACUCAUCUCCUCCACCAAGUACUCCAGUCGUUGAGACUCCACCAACACCUAUUGUUGACCCAGGCACACCCAUCAUUGGAGAAACCCCACCAACUCCUUCCGGUGGAUAUUACUCAUCUCCUCCACCAAGUACUCCCAUUGUUGUAACUCCACCAACACCCAUUGUUGACCCAGGCACACCCAUCAUUGGAGGAACCCCACCAACUCCUUUUAUUGACCCUGGCACUCCUGGAACCCCCUUCCUUCCUGCUCCUUUUCCACCAAUCACUGGAACAUGCGA